GUCACUGCGGCCGGAAGACACGCGGCCCUGCCCUGGGUGGGCCGAGUGAGGUCACCGGUUGCCUUGGAGAUCUGGCUUCCAGCGGGCGGAGUGAGGUCAUCAGUUGCCAGUUAGGAUUCCCAGCAGCUGUGAUCACCUGCAGACCUGUACACUACCGGCCCACCAACAUCCUGUCGUGGGGUGCAGCAGGAGUUCCCACAGAGCUUUGCAGCUGCUGGGUUCCGGAAUGUUAGCACCUGGCUUUGAUCGGCCUUUUGUGACUGCUACCUCUCGUGUCCAGAACCUUCCAUUUGAAGUGUGUAAAUCUUAUCUGAGAGUCUCCUAAAGGCUCAAGCUUGUGCAAAAUCUGACUGUGGGAGGACUCAGAAAACUGAGAUGUCCUGUGACUGGGAAUUGCUCUGGCAUCUAUUUGGGGAACUUAGAUAAGAGGUUCUGGUUUGCAGAAACUGACUUGCUAAAGGUGUAAAUUGUAUAACAAUAAAAAUGCCUUUUGGGAAACUACAGUCAGUCAGUUCACCAGAGGCUGACUGACUUCCCAGCGGCUGUAAAGGCUAAAAAUCAUC